rnacentral:miRNA from 1 species
UGGAAGACUGAUGAUUUGCUGA